rnacentral:rRNA from 1 species
AGGAAUGUAAGGGUGUAUGGUGGAUGCCUAGGCUUCAAGAAGCGAUGAAGGACGUGGAAUGGCUGCGAUAAGUUCCGGUAAGGUGCCAAUCAACCGUUAUAACCGGAAAUCUCCGAAUGGGGAAACCCAACUAUCUACGAUAGUUACUCUACGUAUGUAGAGAGUAAACCCAGGGAAGUGAAACAUCUCAGUACCUGGAGGAAAAGAAAGCAAAUCAAGGGACUUUCUUUCUGGUUGGAUCAGUCGUAAGACUGGCCAUUACAAUCAGGAAGAAGGUUCUUGCGAUGCCCUGAGUAGCGGCGAGCGAAACGGGUUCAGCCCAAACCGUGCGUGUUUACAUUCACGGGGUUGUAGGGCAGUGACUGCAUUUAGUUGCGAAAAGUUACAAAACGUUAAUAUAGUAAAACGCGUUGGAAAGCGCGACCCAAGUAGGUAAUAGUCCUGUAUACGAAAUGUUAACGACUUUUUUGUCACCGUUCCUGAGUAGUUCGAGACAUGAAUAGCUCGAAUGAAUCUGCCAGUACUAACUGGUAAGGCUAAAUAUUCUUGAAGACCGAUAGUGAACUAGUACCGUGAGGGAAAGGUGAAAAGAACCCCGGAGAGGGGAGUGAAAUAGACCUGAAACCAUACAUCUACAAGGAGUCGGAGGCCUGCGGGCCGACGGCGUGCCUAUUGAAGAAUGAGCCGGCGAGUGUAUCUGUAUUCUUUGUCUAAGGGGAAGCCCCCCGGAGGCGCAGUGAAAGCGAGCGUUAAUAGCGCGAAUAUAGAGUACGGAUACGACCCGAAGCGGGAUGAGCUUGCCAUGAGCAGGGUGAAGCGGAGGUAAAACUCCGUGGAGGCCCGAACCGGUUGGCCGUACAAAACCAUCGGAUGACUUGUGGUAAGGAGUGAAAAGCUUAUCGAAUUCCGUAAUAGCUGGUUCUCUCCGAAACAGCUUUAGGGUUGGCGUCGCGUGUUUCUGCUGGGGGUAGAGCACUGGAAGGUCUAAAUAGGGAGAAAUCUCGUUAGUCCUAUCAAACUCCGAAUACCAGUUAGUAUAAGCGCGGCAGUUAGACUGUGGGGGAGAAGCUCCAUUGGUCGAAAGGGAAACAGCCCAGAUCGCCAGUUAAGGUCCCUAAAUAUAUGCUCAGUGCAACUUGAGGAGGUGAGGAUUCACCAACAGCCAGGAGGUUGGCUUAGAAGCAGCCAUCCUUUAAAGAUAGCGUAACAGCUCACUGGUCGAGAGUCCUCGCGCCGAAGAUGAUCGGGGCUCAAGCAUAUUACCGAAACUGCGGAUUCGCUCUGUCUUCGGACAGAGAGAGUGGUAGGAGAGCGUUCUGUUCUGCAAUGAAGCCAAGGCGGGAGCCGCGGUGGAGCGUACAGAAGUGAGAAUGCCGGCACAAGUAACCGCAAGACGGGUGAGAACCCCGUCCGCCGAAAUACCGAGGUUUCCUUUGCGAUGGUGAUCAGCGAAGGGUUAGUCGGUCCUAAGGGAAUCCCGAACGGGGGACCCGAUGGAGAGCAGGUUAAUAUUCCUGCACACUGUUAUGUUGCGAUGGAGGGACGGAGGGUUGUACUCAAAGCAUCUUAUUGGAUUGGUGUUGGAGCUAUGAGCGUGUUACUUAGGCAANNNNNNNNNNNNNNNNNNNNNNNNNNNNNNNNNNNNNNNNNUCUAAGCAUAAACAUAACGGUUCCGUACCGCAAACCGACACAGGUGGUAGGGUCGAGAAGACCAAGGCGAACGAGUGAGAGGUCCUUAAGGAACUCGGCAAAAAAUCGGCCGUAACUUCGGGAUAAGGCCUGCCUCAACAUCUUCGGAUGGUUGAGGCCGCAGCGAAAGAUUUCCUGGCGACUGUUUAACAAAAACACAGCUCCCUGCGAACUCGCAAGAGGAUGUAUAGGGGGUGACGCCUGACCAAUGCCGGAAGGUUAAGCAUGGAGGGUGAAAUGUCUUCGGAUGUUUUGCUGGGCUAUGUAAGCCCCGGUCAAUGUCAGCGAUAACUAUAAUCGUUCUAAGGUAGAGCACGCUUCAUUUAUUGAAGUUUGCUCUACGGACUGGAACGAUUAUAGGGUUAAACAGCCCGAGCCAUAGUUACCUUGUUUGCAGAAAUGUAGACAUAGUCCAAACCUAGCCAACAAGAGACCAAAUGCUAGGCGUCCUCACUUCAGCAAUGAAGCGGAUGAAGAUAGAGUCCUAUUGUGUACGAACAGGUCACGGCCUGUUCACAAAAGAAGGAAUUAUAGAGCGCAAUUCCUUGUCGGGUAAGUUCCGACGUGCACGAAUGGCGUAACGACUGGGAAACUGUCUCAAGGACCUGCUCGGUGAAAAUACAAUCCCGGUGAAGAUGCCGGGUACCUGCAGUUAGACGAAAAGACCCCAGGAGCUUUACUGUAGCUUCGUAUUGGGGCUGUUUGAUUAAUGCGUAGCAUAGGAGGGAGACUUUGAAGCGGGCUUUCGGGCACCGUGGAGUCGCCAGUGAAAUACCUCUCUUUAUUUGGGCAGUUCCUAACCGGACGGGCAAAACCCGUUCGAGACAGUGCGUGGCAGGCAGUUUUAGUGGGGCGCUACCCUCCCAAAAAGUAACGGAGGGGUCUCAAGGUUGGUUAGGCGCGAAUGGAAACCGUGCCGAUAGUGUAAUGGCAUAAACCAGCUUGA